CAAAAAGGGAAGCAAAGAUGGCCGCCAUUCCCCAGGAAGACCCCCCAAGGACAACAACCAGAUUUGUCUCACAUCACUUGCAGUAUAACAUUGAUAUGAACAAGAAUGAAAUGGCUUUUUCCUACUCUAUCACCUCUGUCACGGCAGAUUCCUGAAAGGAAAUCACAAAGAAACAUGAAAAGCUACUGCCAGGAACAAACAUGCAAUCCAAUCAAAUUACUCAUAUUUAUGGACCACGGGGGAAAAUCAGACCACCUGGAGGAAACCCAAAUGGACAUGAAAACUCAUCUAGAGAAGGAAUUGAAACUACAGUUACCAUGCUGAGAGGAAAAUGUGCUAACUGCUGCACCACGCUCCUGUCAGCAGCUGCACGUGUUCCAGUGAAGGCAGGACAGAAAUUAUAGCUCUAAACCCAGAGACUUCCAUGUGCAUAUAUGGAUAGACUUCAAGCAAUAGAAUUAAUCCAUAAUAAAUUUCAAUAUUUGUUUUAAUACA
rnacentral:lncRNA from 1 species